GACGAACGCUGGCGGCGUGCCUAACACAUGCAAGUCGAACGGAGUUAAGUCCAACACCGAAUACUGAGUUUGGUGUUGAGCCCUUAGUAUUGGGUGUUGGAUUUAAUUUAGUGGCGGACGGGUGAGUAACGCGUGAGUAACCUGCCUUUCAGUGGGGGAUACCAUUCUGAAAAGAAUGCUAAUACCGCAUAACAUAUCGAGGUCACAUGGCUUUGAUAUCAAAGGAGCAAUUCGCUGAAAGAUGGACUCGCGUCCGAUUAGCUAGUUGGUGAGGUAAAGGCCCACCAAGGCGACGAUCGGUAGCCGGACUGAGAGGUUGAACGGCCACAUUGGGACUGAGACACGGCCCAGACUCCUACGGGAGGCAGCAGUGGGGGAUAUUGCACAAUGGAGGAAACUCUGAUGCAGCAACGCCGCGUGAGGGAAGACGGUUUUCGGAUUGUAAACCUCUGUCCUUGGUGAAGAAACAAAUGACGGUAGCCAAGGAGGAAGCUCCGGCUAACUACGUG
rnacentral:rRNA from 1 species